ACCCACUGAGGAAACAGUCACAUGGCUUACUUCCUGUCCUAGUUUCAGAACCUGAGAAGGUGAACCUACUGGGGUUGGCUGGGGGAGGAGAGGAGAAUUUGUUCCAGAAAAAAAAUAAAUAAAUAAGAC